rnacentral:misc_RNA from 1 species
AAAGUCGUAACAAGGUUUCCGUAGGUGAACCUGCGGAAGGAUCAUUAUCGAGUUAGGGUCGUUCUGGCCCGAACUUCCAACCCCUUGUUUAUCACACCAUGUUGCUUUGGUGGGCCCGCUCGCUUUUGUGGGCCGCUGGAGGUUAUUGCCUCUGGUCCGUGCCUGCCAGCAGCCUUAUUAAAAUUCUUUUUUAACUGUGUCGUCUGAGUAAACUUUUUAAAUUAUUAAAAACUUUCAACAACGGAUCUCUUGGUUCUG